UACCCCAAACCGACACAGGUGGACUGGUAGAGAAUACCAAGGCGCUUGAGAGAACCACAUUUAAGGAACUCGGCAAAAUACCUCCGUAAGUUCGCGAGAAGGAGGCCCCGUCGUUGCGCAAGCAGUGGCGGGGGGCACAAAAAUGGGGGUGGCGACUGUUUACUAAAAACACAGGGCUCUGCGAAGUCGCAAGAAGACGUAUAGGGUCUGACGCCUGCCCGGUGCCGGAAGGUUAAAAGGAGAUGUGCAAGCAUUGAAUUGAAGCCCCGGUAAACGGCGGCCGUAACAAUAACGGUCCUAAGGUAGCGAAAUUCCUUGUCGGGUAAGUUCCGACCUGCACGAAUGGCGUAACGACUUCCCCGCUGCCUCAAAUGUGGACUCAGCGAAAUUGAAUUGUCUGUGAAGAUGCAGACUUCCCGCGGUUAGACGGAAAGACCCCACGCACCUUUACUAUAGCUUCGCACUGGCAUCAGGAUUGUGAUGUGCAGGAUAGGUGGUAGGCAUUGAAACCGGGACGCCAGUUCCGGUGGAGCCAUCCUUGAGAUACCACCCUUCGCACUCUUGAUGUCUAACCGCGGCCCGUUAUCCGGGUCCGGGACCCUGCGUGGUGGGUAGUUUGACUGGGGCGGUCGCCUCCCAAACAGUAACGGAGGCGCGCGAAGGUAGGCUCAGAGCGGUCGGAAAUCGCUCGUUGAGUGCAAUGGCAGAAGCCUGCCUGACUGCAAGACUGACAAGUCGAGCAGAGACGAAAGUCGGUCAUAGUGAUCCGGUGGUCCCGAGUGGAAGGGCCAUCGCUCAACGGAUAAAAGGUACGCUGGGGAUAACAGGCUGAUGAUGCCCAAGAGUCCAUAUCGACGGCAUCGUUUGGCACCUCGAUGUCGGCUCAUCUCAUCCUGGGGCUGGAGCAGGUCCCAAGGGUACGGCUGUUCGCCGUUUAAAGAGGUACGUGAGCUGGGUUUAGAACGUCGUGAGACAGUUCGGUCCCUAUCUGCCGUGGGCGUAGGAUACUUGAGAGGAGUUGCCCCUAGUACGAGAGGACCGGGGUGAACGUUCCACUGGUGGACCAGUUGUCGUGCCAACGGCAGUGCUGGGUAGCUAUGAACGGACAGGAUAAACGCUGAAGGCAUCUAAGCGUGAAGCCCCCCUCAAAACAAGGUAUCCCUUGAGAGCCGUGGAAGACCACCACGUCGAUAGGCCGGAGAUGUAAGCGCAGCAAUGCGUUCAGUUGACCGGUACUAAUGGCUC
rnacentral:rRNA from 1 species